CCAAGAGGGAGAGGGUGGUCCUCUGGAGUGGGUGUGGGCGUUGGGUGGGACCCCUGGAGAUGAGAGGGUGUGGGCGGAUUCUUGGAGCAGAGGCCAAGGUAUGCUAGGUCUAAGCAGAAUGGGCAGAGUGACUCCAGCUGGGCAAGGGGUCUCAGUCUCCCCUCAAAGAGGAAAGAUGAGGGGCAGGGGAGCCGAUGGGGGUCGAGCCUGCACUCAGCCCUGGGUCCUCUUGGAACCGGGCUCGGAACUGAGCUAGGAAGGAGCACAGGCGGGUCUCCUGGACUCCUGUCUACCGAGCUGCACCCAGGACCAGAAGCAGGGCAUGGGCCCCUCCUCUGGCCAGGAUGCUGGGCUCCUUUGGCCACAAAGCAGGACAGGGGCCCAGAGAGCCCCCAACCCAGGAGACGUGAAGCUGGCAGCUGGCAUAGAGUCUACAUGACCCCGAGAAUGAGGCCAUAGGCCCCAUAGAACAGCAGCUUCAAAGUUUAGCCCGCGUCAAAACCGCCUGGCAGCCUUGUGGCUUUAACGUCCGCUCCCACAGUUUCUGACUCUGUGGGUGUGGGGAGGGGCCUAGGAAUUUGCAUGUGUAACAAUGUCCAGGUGCGGCUGAUGCUGGCUGGUCUGGGGACCAUGCUCCGACAACCACUGCUUUAGCAUUUCUGUGGAUCUGGCCCGCUAUUACCUCUGUAGAGGAUGUCCUGUUAUUAUAUCUGGGGGCAAAAAAAAUUAGUGGAAGUACAGGUGCAUGAUCAGCCCAUCUCAGUCCGUGACCCACCAUAUUUCUACUGAGAGCCCACCUUAGGUCCGGCUGGCCCUGCUCUAGGGCUGGGGAUAAAAUGGUAAACGAGAUGGACGGGUCCCCGCCUCAGAACUGACAGCCAGGAGGGUCUGGCAUGUGAUCUUCCCACCUGGGAGUCUAAAAGGCAGCUCGAAAGAAGGUCCAGACAGACCUCGAGUCACAGUCCACCAGCUUCAUCUCAGGUCUUCCCCGGUCAGUAACUAGCCCACCAGCCAGUCCAGCUGCAAGCCCCGAGUCACCCAGAUUCCUCACUCUGCCUCCCGCAUGGAAUCCCACAAGGCAGGGGCUCUGCCUCCAUAGUGCGUCUGCUCUCUGCCCACUGUCAUCUGUCUCUCUGAGUGUGAUCUCCUCCUUCCCUCCUUGCCCCCCUGGCCCACCCUCUGCGUGGCAGCCAGAGCAAUUUUUUAAGGCAUUAUCACAUCACUUCUCUGCUUACCCUCUCCAAUGUCUUCCUUUUUUUUUUUUUUUUUUUUUAAUUUUUAGUGUUUACUUUUAAGAGAGAUAGAGAGUGUGGGUGGAGGAGGGCCGGAGG